UGGGUAGGGGAGCGUUCUUACUUGGAAGAAGGCAGACCGGAAGGACUGCUGGACGAGUAAGAAGUGAGAAUGCCGGUAUGAGUAGCGAAACGACAGGUGAGAAUCCUGUCCACCGAAAGCCUAAGGGAUCCUGGGCAACGCUCGUCGCCCCAGGGUAAGUCGGGACCUAAGCCGAGGCGAGAAGCAUAGGCGAUGGACAACCGGUGAAAAUUCCGGUACCGGGUCAGUUUGUUUGAGGAUGGAGUGACGCAGGAAGGAAGCUGAGCGCGCGACUGGUUGGGCGCGUCGAAGGCGGUAGGCUAGUACGGAGGCAAAUCCCCGUACUAUAAGGCCGAGAACCGAUAGAUAGGAGAGACUACGGUCAAUCUGAAUUCAGCCGCACUACACUGCCAAGAAAAGCUUCUAACGAGAACUGAUCCGCCCGUACCAAAACCGACACAGGUAGGCGGGGAGAGAAUCCUAAGGUGCGCGGGAAAACCCUCGUUAAGGAACUCGGCAAAAUGCAUCCGUAACUUCGGGAAAAGGAUGGCCGGAGGUUGUGAAGUUAUUAACUGAUGGAGCGACAGCCGGCGGCAGAAAAGAGGCCCAAGCGACUGUUUACCACAAACACAGGUGCCUGCGAAAGCGCAAGCUGAAGUAUAGGUGCUGACGCCUGCCCGGUGCAGGAAGGUUAAGGAGAGUUGUUAUCCCUAGAGGAGAAGCAGCGAACUGAAGCCCCUGUAAACGGCGGCCGUAACUAUAACGGUCCUAAGGUAGCGAAAUUCCUUGUCGGGUAAGUUCCGACCCGCACGAAAGGCGUAACGAUUUGGGCACUGUCUCAACGAGGGACCCGGUGAAAUUGAAAUACCUGUGAAGAUGCAGGUUACCCGCGACUGGACAGAAAGACCCCAUGGAGCUUUACUGCAGCUUGGCAUUGGUCUUUGGCAUAUAACGUACAGGAUAGCCGGGAGACUGGGAAGAUAUCUCGCUAGAGGUAUUGGAGUCACCGUUGGGAUACCGGCCUUUAUAUGCUAAGGAUCUAACCGGAACAUUAACAGUGUUCGGGACAGUACCAGGCGGGCAGUUUGACUGGGGCGGUCGCCUCCGAAAGAGCAACGGAGGCGUCCAAAGGUUCCCUCAGCGCGGACAGAAAUCGCGCGCAGAGCAUAAAGGCAGAAGGGAGCUUGACUGCGAGACUGACGGGUCGAGCAGGUACGAAAGUAGGGCUUAGUGAUCCGGUGGAAAGAGAGUGGAAUUGCCAUCGCUCAACGGAUAAAAGCUACCCUGGGGAUAACAGGCUAAUCUCUCCCAAGAGUCCAUAUCGACGGGGAGGUUUGGCACCUCGAUGUCGGCUCAUCACAUCCUGGGGCUGAAGCAGGUCCCAAGGGUUGGGCUGUUCGCCCAUUAAAGUGGUACGUGAGCUGGGUUCAGAACGUCGUGAGACAGUUCGGUCCAUAUCCAUCGCGGGCGCAAGAUACAUGAGGGAGGCUGCUCCUAGUACGAGAGGACCGGAGUGGACGAACCAACGGUGUACCGGUUGUCCUGCCAAGGGCACGGCCGGGUAGCUGCGUUCGGAAGGGAUAAACGCUGAAAGCAUCUAAGCGUGAAGCCCGUCCCGAGAUGAAGUAUCUCAUCUCAAUAAGAGAGUAAGACCCCUUGCAGAAGACGAGGUAGAUAGGCUGGGCGUAGAAGUGCGGCAACGCAUGCAGCUGACCAGUACUAAUCGGUCGAGGGCUUGAUUUA
rnacentral:rRNA from 1 species